UACGUAGGGGGCAAGCGUUGUCCGGAUUUAUUGGGCGUAAAGCGCGCGUAGGCGGCAAGGUAUGUCGUGCGUGAAAUCUCCCGGCUUAACUGGGAGGGGCCGUGCGAAACUGCCUGGCUUGAGGUCGGAAGGGGAAAGUGGAAUUCCGGGUGUAGUGGUGGAAUACGUAGAUAUCCGGAGGAACACCAGCGGCGAAGGCGGCUUUCCGUCGGAUUCC
rnacentral:rRNA from 1 species